AUGGAUGAAAAGUGUAUUGAAAUUAAUUUAAAUUUUUCUUCCGGUGAUUUCUCAACAAUAGUCAACACAAGCACCUCUAGCAAAAUAGAAAAAUCUGUUAAUGUCUCCAAAGAGCAGCCGAACGAAAGCAUUUGUGAUAGUAAAAUUCAAAAUAGUUCUACUUCUAAGAUUUUUUCAAAAGAACGUAACUCAAACAUUGCUGGGAAAACGCUAACUAGAUCACUUAGUAGCGCUUCCUCUCUGCUGAAGAUGAACUCCGAAACAAUUUCUUCUAAAUCAACCUCGGAGAUCAUUUCAACUGAAGAUAACACGAGAACUGGUGCUAGAGUUGAAAAGCAAUCUAUGAAUCUGAAAAGCUCUCUGUUGAAAGUUGGCGCUGGUGGCUCUGAAAAUAGCUCUAUCCCCACAGCCUCACUAAAAGCAAAUAGUACAACCGUAAUUGAGAAAGGUUUAAAAACAUCCGCAGAUGUUUCAAAAGAACAGCUAAAUCAGUGUGUUAAAGUCUGUGUUGUUGAUGUACUAAAAGGAAAAGGACGAAUAUCACAGGCUGAACUAAAAUCAGUCAUUAACCAACCAAUCAAAAAGCCUUGCGUUACACCAGAACACCCACCAUCUGAAAAUUUAGUGAUGAAGAAACAAGCUUCUUCCAACAACUCAAGAACAUCGGAAAAAUGCUGGAAACGAUUACCUAAGGCUGUCAUUAGUAUUCCAAAGAUUGCAAUGGAUAAAAAUGCUUGGAUUGCAAAGCAUACUGUAAAUCCUCAAACUUGCAAGGAGAGUGAAAUGAAUCCUGACUGUUUGCAUCUGAAUGAAGCAAUCAGAAACUCAUCAAAACUGACCAGGAAGUCCGCAAAGGAACCGGGUUUAAAAGUGUCGCUGCCUUCAGAAACUAUGAACUCAUCAAAUCGCAUGGCCAAUGGAGACUCAACGGUUUUUAAACCGGAGACCGAGACAGACAAAAUUUAUGAAUUUGAUAAUGAAGUUUCAAUCCCUAAAGGAUCUUACAAGGACUUUGUUAGAACCGUCAAGAAGUCAGAUGGUAAGAAAAUUUCUGACAAUAUGCCUCCUUCUGAAGCAGAAUCAGUCAUCAAAAAUGUAGAAGUGUCAUCUAGCCGCGCCGGAUCUCAUUUGAUUAUUCCUGUUUGUGUGGAAAAAGUUCUCUCCAAACCAACUUACAGAGAGUUAAAGAGACUCUCGCAUACUUUACCAGUAAAAAGAAAAGAAAAGAAAACACGCGUAGAUUUCAGCUCUAAAAAUCAAUUUCAUUGUGACCAAGAAUCAAACCAUAUCACGACAGAAGGAGAUGGAAGUCUUAGUUCUCCUCUAGACUUUCCUGCCUCUGCGAAAGAAAAAUUUAGUAGUGCCAUCAAUGAAAAACGAGCGGAGGAUAAACCAAAUAUGAAAUCAAUCAUUAAUACAAAUCAGAAGAAGCUUAUCUUAAAUGUCCCAAAGUUACCGUUCAAUUUAAAAAACGUUAACAUGAAGUGUCCAUUAAAUGCAAUCCACACAGCUCAGAAUAAUGAUAAACCAAAAACUAUUCAAAAUAUCAACGAGACAAGCGAUAUAGCAAGCUCUAGCUUCAAAAUUAUGACCGAUAGAAAUCACACUAAUUCCCUCAAAUCUUCAACUCAAAGUUCUGAGAACAGUAAUCCCAUAAAAAAUAAAGAUAAUGACUCAACUGCAGUAAAAAUUAAAUCAUAUAAGAAUGAUAAUCUUGAAAUUAUUCCUCCGAAUCUUAAAAACCGAAAUACCAAAGGAGUCCUCCUAGCAAAAAGACCAUUUCAAUCAACAAUAGAUGAAAGCACUCUCAACCCAGGGAGUCCAAAAUCAGAUGCAUUGGCCAAGUCUGCUGGCGAAUUAUCACAAGCAACGAAGGGUGAACGUAAAGAUAUAACUAAAUCUCAAAUGAAUGCUCUUGUUAGUGAGCGAACAAGAAAAUUAAUCAUUGAGAGCGCUGUAUGGAAUAAAAAAAAGAAAGUUGAAAGUUUUUCUGCAGAAAAACAAACUUCAGAAAAAGAAUCGAUCACAAAUCAGGAAUUGAUUUCUUCAUCAAAGAAUGAUAGAGCACCAUCAGAAUUUCACUCCAAUGCCAUUAAGCCUGGAUCUUUGACUAGUUCAAAAAACGAAUCAAUUAUUCCCAAACCCCAGACUCCCGAUAUUGUAAAAAUUAAAACUUUAAGUUCUCUUAGUUGUAUAUCUUCCGGAGAACCCGAACCUUCAUGUCCUGUCACUAAUGAAUCUCAAAGCAUCAAAAGAAAUGGAUCUCUCUCAACAAGUUCCAGGGAUUCUUUAGAACAGUCCAAAGUCAGUCAACCAACAACAGCUGUUCAGGUAAACAUUUUUAUAAACACCAUAUAUUAA
rnacentral:lncRNA from 1 species